UCCUUGGUGGCUCAGUCAGAUAGAGCACCUGCCUUGUAAGCAGGAGGUCCCGGGUUCGAGUCCCGGUCGGGGCA
rnacentral:tRNA from 1 species